rnacentral:rRNA from 1 species
GGGUCCCAUUCCGAACCCGGAAGCUAAGCCCUCCAGCGCCGAUGGUACUGCACCCGACAGGGUGUGGGAGAGUAGGACACCGCCGAAC